rnacentral:rRNA from 1 species
CCUACGGGAGGCAGCAGUGAGGAAUAUUGGUCAAUGGUCGGGAGACUGAACCAGCCAAGCCGCGUGAGGGAGGAAGGUACAGAGUAUCGUAAACCUCUUUUGUCAGGGAACAAAGACGGGGACGCGUCCCCGGAUGAGUGUACCUGAAGAAUAAGCACCGGCUAACUCCGUGCCAGCAGCCGCGGUAAUACGGAGGGUGCAAGCGUUAAUCGGAAUUAUUGGGGGUAAAGGGUGCGCAGGCGGGCUUGUAAGUCAGAUGUCAAAUCCUGGAGCAUAACUCCAGAUCGGCCGUUGAAACGGUGAGUCUAGAGUGUGAGAGAGGUAGGCGGAAUGCGCGGUGUAGGGGUAAAAUGCGUAGAUAUCGAGAGGAAUACUGAUUGCGAAGGCGACCUACCGGCACCUCACUGACGCUCAGGCACGAAAGCGUGGGGAGCGAACAGGAUUAGUUACCCUAGUAGUC